GAUGAACGCUGGCGGCGUGCCUAAUACAUGCAAGUCGAGCGAACAGACGAGGAGCUUGCUCCUCUGACGUUAGCGGCGGACGGGUGAGUAACACGUGGAUAACCUACCUAUAAGACUGGGAUAACUUCGGGAAACCGGAGCUAAUACCGGAUAAUAUAUUGAACCGCAUGGUUCAAUAGUGAAAGACGGUUUUGCUGCCACUUAUAGAUGGAUCCGCGCCGCAUUAGCUAGUUGGUAAGGUAACGGCUUACCAAGGCAACGAUGCGUAGCCGACCUGAGAGGGUGAUCGGCCACACUGGAACUGAGACACGGUCCAGACUCCUACGGGAGGCAGCAGUAGGGAAUCUUCCGCAAUGGGCGAAAGCCUGACGGAGCAACGCCGCGCGAGUGAUGAAGGUCUUCGGAUCGUAAAACUCUGUUAUUAGGGAAGAACAAAUGUGUAAGUAACUAUGCACGUCUUGACGGUACCUAAUCAGAAAGCCACGGCUAACUACGUG
rnacentral:rRNA from 1 species